AGGAAGAUACAACUAUUUAGAAGAUACAGCUGCUUCAAGAAACUGUGCAAAAUUACCCAGGCUGCAACCACCAUGUUGUUCCAUAUCUGCUCUACCUGAGAAAGGAUUUAGGAUGCUGAUCCUCAAUUUUGUCAGUCUCCUCUCCAUCAUCUGUGGGUGUUUACUGAAGCACCAGUUUUACUCCUCUGCACACCUGGAUUUGAGUCACGCACUGAGAAGAAAUGAGACAAUAUUUUAUUGUAGCACCAUCCCACGAUAAAAGCGUUCUCCUGCAGCCCAGCCAUUCCUGUUGUUUCUGUGCAGAGGAUACUAAUUAUCCAGUAUGUGAAAUUACAAUGGCAGAAAAUAGUGAACAUCUCAAACA